ACUUGGUUCAUUGGAUUCUAGACUUCGAGAGGUUUCCACAGAGCCCUCACUUGCAAUUUCUGGUGAAGCUUGGAAUCAGCUCGAUUGCGAGAAUCGGACGUUUUCAGUCAACCCAGCAGGUGGUGUUGCAGCUGAGGGGAGUAUUCCGCUGCCUGGGAUUAGCGUGCGAGAGCCACAGGUUUCGGCUGCUGCACCGUCUGCGGAC